GUUUCGUCACGAGUCGGCCUUUGAGCGUGACUGAUGGGUGAUUAUGCUCGACGUUGAAGGCCUUGUAAGUCACCUCACGAGUGGGGAAUUUGUUUUGGUUAAUCCAAAUCAAACGAACUGCGACAACGUCAUUUAUGACGGGGGUUCGACGAAGUCGGCCCAUGACCCGAUGAUUUGUCCCUGAAACAAUUUCAGAUCUCUUGUUUUGCCGCUCAAUGAUAUUCGUCCAACGACGUGGGGAUGUCUAGUUGCUUGCAGAUCUUAGCAUCAAGCUUCGAUCUUAGUUUUAAGCUUAACCGGUCUUUUCACGAGGCCCGCACGAAAGGUUUGAUUGUAUGGCAUGUUCUUGUUUGAUUGUUGCCUUAUGAUUGGAUCGUUAGUGUAACCGAUGACAUGAUGUGGCUUGUUAAUCUUAAAACUUGGGAUGGCAACUAAGCAUUGUUGCGUCGGUCGAUGACUUUUAUUGAACGGGAAGGCAAGAGUUCAAAUUUUGUUGCGUUGUAGAUGACAUUUGUCCCACAAUGUGGUGGUGUCAAGUCGCUUGUCGUUUCAUGUUUCAAGCUUCUUAAGCUUGAUACACAUGUAACAACGCUUGGUGACUAGGCAUUGCCUUGUUGGUCGAUGAAGGUCGUCUGAUGAAGUGUUAGCUACAAUAUUUUGUUAUCGCAUCGUUCGGUGCAUUCUGGGGUCA
rnacentral:misc_RNA from 1 species